rnacentral:rRNA from 1 species
AUGUGCGACCCCACCCCUGAGCCCAACGAGCUCGACAAGGACAUACUCGAGUCCGACCUCGAGCUCGACAAGGAGGGUGUCGUCCAACCCGACCAUGAUGACACACCACACAAGUUGGCCAGCUCCACACUAGUUAGUGCUCCUAUUCUUGCCCCCGUGGUGGAUGGGACACUCUUCCUUGAGGUGACCGAGGAGAGCCGUGACGCCUCCCAGGAAGCAAAGGGCCACGCAAUGGAAGCAAUGUCAGAAGGGAAACUGGAAGAGGCCGUUGAGCAUCUCACCAAGGCUAUACUGCUGAAUCCAACCUCGACAAUCAUGUACGGUACCAGAGCAUCUGUGUUUGUGAAAAUGAAGAAGCUUGUUGCUGCCAUCCGUGAUGUGAACGCUGCUCUAGAAGUGAUGAUUAUUUCCCCCUUCUGUCCCUUGACAUUCUAUCUUGAUUCUGAGAUGCUAAUGAGGGGUGGCGUUAUAUCUACAACCAUUCUGGAUCUUUAUGUGUACGUUCUGGCUGUAGUGUGCUCUCAUGUUGUACAUGCCCUUAUGUUUAGUAAUCCUUUUCCGACCGGCACUAUGGAGAGGACCCUGAAGCCUGGUGUGUUCCUCAAAUCGGGCCACUUGAAGCUUUCAAAGGGCACCAUGGUGCGUUGCAAUGUCAUGGACCACUCGAGGAGGAGAAAAUCCAUCCACGACCGUCUUGUUGCCGGCGUUCUGGCUGCCCCGGCGGACCUCCUCUGUCCGAAGCUGAGACCUUGUGCGGGCAAGUUCUCCAAGGUCCUCUGCUGCGACCUCCAUAGAAAACUCUCAUUCCAUUCUUUCUCCUACCCCAAUGAGCCCAUUCUCCACACGUCGCCUGCACCCCCGCAUCUAACUCCACCAUCUGGGAACGUCGUAGAAGAAAUCUCCAGUCUUCAUGGAAUUGUGCUUGGAGUUCAGACUGAAAGUGCGAAGUAUUCUGUAACGAGACUUGUGCUUGGAGUUCAGUCUAUCAAAGCUCGUCGACUAGUACUACGUUCGUCCUCCGCUGUUUUGUUGCUGCAUCUCGAACUGAAAAUGGAAGGAAGUGGUGGGACGUCGCCUUUAGGAGAGCCCACCGUUCCAGUAAUCCCAAACUAUGUACCAACACUGUCAGUUGUGGAAUCGGCCAAUAGUGUCCAAAAUCAAGAUUUCAGUGAUGCUACCUCACAAUGUUUUCGAGUCGACGAGUCGACGGGUCGCUCGGGGGGAGCGACUCUAGACUAG